rnacentral:rRNA from 1 species
UGGCUCAGGACGAACGCUGGCGGCGUGCUAAUACAUGCAAGUCGAGCGGACAGAAGGGAGCUUGCUCCCGGAUGUUAGCGGCGGACGGGUGAGUAACACGUGGGUAACCUGCCUGUAAGACUGGGAUAACUCCGGGAAACCGGAGCUAAUACCGGAUAGUUCCUUGAACCGCAUGGUUCAAGGAUGAAAGACGGUUUCGGCUGUCACUUACAGAUGGACCCGCGGCGCAUUAGCUAGUUGGUGAGGUAACGGCUCACCAAGGCGACGAUGCGUAGCCGACCUGAGAGGGUGAUCGGCCACACUGGGACUGAGACACGGCCCAGACUCCUACGGGAGGCAGCAGUAGGGAAUCUUCCGCAAUGGACGAAAGUCUGACGGAGCAACGCCGCGUGAGUGAUGAAGGUUUUCGGAUCGUAAAGCUCUGUUGUUAGGGAAGAACAAGUGCAAGAGUAACUGCUUGCACCUUGACGGUACCUAACCAGAAAGCCACGGCUAACUACGUGCCAGCAGCCGCGGUAAUACGUAGGUGGCAAGCGUUGUCCGGAAUUAUUGGGCGUAAAGGGCUCGCAGGCGGUUUCUUAAGUCUGAUGUGAAAGCCCCCGGCUCAACCGGGGAGGGUCAUUGGAAACUGGGAAACUUGAGUGCAGAAGAGGAGAGUGGAAUUCCACGUGUAGCGGUGAAAUGCGUAGAGAUGUGGAGGAACACCAGUGGCGAAGGCGACUCUCUGGUCUGUAACUGACGCUGAGGAGCGAAAGCGUGGGGAGCGAACAGGAUUAGAUACCCUGGUAGUCCACGCCGUAAACGAUGAGUGCUAAGUGUUAGGGGGUUUCCGCCCCUUAGUGCUGCAGCUAACGCAUUAAGCA